UCCGUAGCUGGAUGUACAAGUCUCUUGAGAAAUCCGCCGGCUUAACCGGUGGGCGUUCAGGGGAAACUGUAUUUCUAGGGACCGGGAGAGGUGAGAGGUACUGCCGGGGUAGGAGUGAAAUCCUGUAAUCCCGGUGGGACCACCUAUGGCGAAGGCAUCUCACCAGAACGGGUCCGACAGUGAGGGACGAAAGCUGGGGGAGCAAACC
rnacentral:rRNA from 1 species